GGUAUUAGUUUGUUUGCUUAGAGCGGGAAGAAAAGAAAUUUAAAUAUAUAUAAAUCACCAACAAACCUUAUGUUAAGUUUUUUUGACUGGAAAGAGAAGAAAUCAAAGCUCAAUUGGAGAAAGUUUUAUUGUAGCGUUGUGCAGGCAGGCUGAAGCCUAAUAGUGGCAACAGCCCCCAACAAAGGUGGGAGUACAGUUUUACAGCAUUUUGUGAGGGGGCUUGGGGGAAUAACUGUUGGUGGGUACAGAGAGAAGUAAGGAGUUGAGUCAGGGAAUUGGUUUCACAGGGUAGGUAGGAUAAGGAGUUGACUUCAGGGAGAUUAUUACAUUAUGGAAAAUUUUUGUUCUUGCUCAUACUGUUAUGUUAGCUAAGAGUGGGUUUUAUGUAAACAGUUAUGUGUGUUGUGGGAGAGCUUCUAAGGGUGUGUUUUGAUGUUUUGGGGGUAGGGAGUUUUGCCUAACACCUUAGUCUUGCUAGAAGUUUGCAAGGAAGGAAUUGCUCAUAUUGUUUCUCAAGGGGACUCUCCUGCCCUUUAUGUUUAAUUACACCCUUCCUCCAGGGAGUUUCAGGUUUUUGUCCAUAAAACUCCAGUGUGUCUGAUCAGGGUCUAGGAAUUUCCUGAUAGACAGAAUUCAGUCAAAAGUAUUUACUGAAUGAAUAAAGGAAAAAUAUGUUCAAUAUUUUAUGAGGUUUACAGGUUUACUUGAUAAAUCCAAUCAAAGUAACAGGGUGUGUCCCAUAGAAUGAAGCCUUGAAUAGAUUUAACAUCUGUGUAAUUAGGGUGUGUCCCCUCAAUGUUUACCCCUAUAUAAACGGAAGACACAACAGAGGUGGCAUUUCACCAAAGAAGAAGAAGCUGAAAAAUACAGAACUUCACAAAAAGAGCAAAUCGCUGUUUUCCUGAGGAACCCACUUCAGAAUCUAGUUGACCUCACUGGCUCCUACAGUUUGGUUUCUGGAAUCAGUGACCUUCAGUGAUGUAGCUAUAGACUUUUCCAGGGAAGAGUGGGCCUUGCUGGACACAACCCAGAGAAAGCUGUUCAGAGAUGUUAUGCUGGAGAAUAUCAAUCAUCUGGUGACUGCGGAUAGGGAAAAUGGUCAUAAAAAGGAAGAAAUGAUAACCAUGCAACAUAUCUGCAAGAAGGAGACAUCUACCAUCCAGUCAAAGCAGCAGAUUUCUUACACUGGAGAGGAUCUCUUUGAAAAUAAUGAUUUGGGAGAUUUCAUUCACUCUAUAUUAACUUACAAGGGAAAGAAGCCCUAUGGGGACAAACAAUUUCAAAAAAAAUUCAAUUACCAUUCAUUCAUUAGCCAACAUAAGCAAAUUCAUACUGGACAUAAGUUGUAUGACUGUCAUCUAUGUGGAAGUCUUCAGAGGUAAUUUUUCCCUUAGAGAACAUGAGAAAACACACACUGGAGAGAAACCAUAUGGCUGCAAUCUAUGAGGGAAAGACUUCACUGACAGUACUACCUACAGACAACAUGAGAGAACUCACACUGGGGAGAAAACAUGUCUCUGUUAUGUAUGUGGGAAAUCUUUCAGUCAACUUGCUCAACUUAGACAACAUGAGAGAACUCACACUGGGGUGAAACCAUAUGUCUGCCAUCUAUAUGCAGUACACUUCACUAAUAGUUCUACCCUCAGACAACAUGAAAGAACUCACACUGGAGAGAAACCAUAUGUGUGCUGUGUAUGUGGGAAAUCCUUCAGUCAACAUAAUCACCUUAGGCUACAUGAGAGAACUCACACUGGGGAGAAAACAUAUGUCUGCCAUCUAUGUGGAAAAGACUUCACUGAUAUUUCUACCCUCAAAAGACAUGAGAGAAAUCAUGCUGGAGAGAAAUCAUAUGUCUGCCUUCUAUUUGGGAAAUCCUUCACUCAUUGUAGUAACCUUAGGCAGCAUGAGAGUACUCAUACUGGUGAGAAGCCAUGUGUCUGCAAUAUUUCUGGAAAAUCCUUCAGUCAACAUAUUCACCUUAUGCAACAUGAGAGAACUCACACUUGGGAGAAACCAAGUGUCUGCCACCUAUGUGAGAAAAGUUUUAGAUAUAAUUCUUCCAUUAGGAAACAACAGAUAACUCAUUAAAAAUGUAUUUGGAAGAGUCUUUAGCUACAGGUAUGAUCUUUUAAACAAUGCGUGUACUUCUCUGUCAAAGUAAUCAAUGUGUAAAUGCCUUUAUUUACAAUCUAUCCUUAAAUAACAUGAUUGAACUAUCCUGGGAGGAACUCUAUGUCUGUAGUUACCUAUAAUAGAUUUCAGCUGAGCUCCAGCCUUCAUGUAUACAAGCACAGCUCAGGGUAAGAAUAACUUCUAAACCAGGAAACUAGACAGAAAGGCCUUUACCAGGAGGAGGAAACACUAGUAGGACAAAAGAUAAUUUUUUAUGGAGUAUGCAAUGAAAAAAAUAUGAAAAAUCCUUUACUUAGAGAGGAACAUGUUAUUGGUCUUGAUCUUCCUCUGUUUUAGUUCAUCUGAGUAUAUAUUUCUUUUGACCUCAAACACUGAAUACCAUGAAUACUCAACCUUCUUUAAAAUUGAAUCAUAUAGUAUAUAUUCUUUUGUAGCUGACUUUUUUGAUCACCAUCUGUAAAUCAGGCUAUUCAGUGUGUGUUUAUGGAACAUUGUUAGGAGUGUUCCAUCAGAUUUAUUGUUCUUAUUUUAGAUAUUCAUUCUCCUAAUAGUUGACUUUUGUUUGUUAACAUGUUUUAGCUACUAUGAAAAAGAUAAUUCCUUUAAAAUUGUUAUGCUUGAGUUUGGUGGAACUAGAUACUCAUUAUUCUCAAGCAUGCAAAAGAUAAAUUGCUGGAUCAAAAAUAGGUGCAUGUGACCAGAAGACUGAGGAUGGAAGAAUAGGGAGCCCCAAGAUUCAAUCU